rnacentral:rRNA from 1 species
AAUGGCUCAUUAAAUCAGUUAUCGUUUAUUUGAUAGUACCUUACUACUUGGAUAACCGUGGUAAUUCUAGAGCUAAUACAUGCUAAAAACCUCGACUUCGGAAGGGGUGUAUUUAUUAGAUAAAAAACCAAUGCCCUUCGGGGCUCCUUGGUGAUUCAUAAUAACUUAACGAAUCGCAUGGCCUUGUGCCGGCGAUGGUUCAUUCAAAUUUCUGCCCUAUCAACUUUCGAUGGUAUGGUCUUGGCUUACCAUGGUUUCAACGGGUAACGGGGAAUUAGGGUUCUAUUCCGGAGAGGGAGCCUGAGAAACGGCUACCACAUCCAAGGAAGGCAGCAGGCGCGCAAAUUACCCAAUCCCGACACGGGGAGGUAGUGACAAUAAAUACUGAUACAGGGCUCUUUUGGGUCUUGUAAUUGGAAUGAGUACAAUUUAAAUCCCUUAACG